AUAUUAACCAUUUCAAAAUUUUCUAAAUUACGUAGUAUUUGUUAAUAUGCAUAAUUAUAUAUUCGCAGAAGAGUGAUACCCCCGCUAUGCACGGUAUCAUGUAAACUUUCUAUAUGAUUUUUAUUUCUAAAAUGGAAUAGUCUUGUAUAGUAGUAAGGGAUUGAAGUAAUGUAUUACUAAUGUAAUAAAAUUCCUGUAACCCGCCGGACCAAACUGAUUAUGCAUCUUCACGAACUGCCUCAAAUCAACUACUGGUACACCUCCCCCUCAAAAAUCCUAAGCAGAAACCCAUCACGCAGGUAAGGAUCGUCUUCGAUUACUUAUUUUUUAUUAUAUGAUGUUAGGGAUCCUGUCUUCCCAACCGACGCUCAUGCCUCGCUCAGGCGACGAUUCCUCUGACCCUCCCUGGCUCUCCAAUCAAUCAGUUUUCCCUUGCGAAUCCUCAGCGGAAGCUCAUUAAUCAGGAUGGCAUGGAGUAUGCCCAAAGGAAUGGGAUGUUCUUAAUCAAGACAAUCUGCAAUAAUGGCAGAUAAUAUAAACCAGCUGUUUGAGUCCACUCUUUGGACAAUCUACUUCCAUUGACAGACAGUGGGGGCCAAUUUUCUCUCCGACAAAUUUGAAACUGAAAAAUUAUCAAGACAUCGUUUCUCAUGUGUUGAGGAUUAACAUCUCUUUACUAUAGCAAUUCUGACUUCGAUUUCUUCCUUUGAUUACAAUUGUAGGGUUAUCUUUGAUUUAACUUUUACAGCUUUGCUGACAUACAAGUCGGGAAAUCUGUUCAAGACUCACUUGGUUAUCUCCCGAUAGCAUAUAAUGGUUGCCUUCACAUAGGGCUGUCUGUUGGCAAAAUACGGUUAUUCGUGUUUGUCAUAUGGUCCUAUUCCGCAUUCAUGCCUGCAGGUUUAACAGGCUCUUUGGCCCGUCACUAGCAGUGGACCAUAGAUUAUCGUAGCAUCUAGCAAGCAUUAGACAGUUGACAUUGUAGUUGCAUGGUAAGUCGCAUCAGUUUUUUUCUUUUCUCUCCGCAGAUAUACUGUAAAUCCAGUAUCUUUCUUUGUUUAUAAAAUAAAAAUUGACUGAUUGCAUAUGA